rnacentral:RNase_P_RNA from 1 species
AGAGUCAGCGAGGCGAUUACAGGUUGGCCCGUUCAGCCUGAGGAAAGUCCGGGCUCCCGAAAGACCAAACUUGCUGGAUAACGCCCAGUGCGGGUGACCGUGAGGAUAGUGCCACAGAAACAUACCGCCGAUGUGAUUUGUGAUUGACGAUUUUAGGGGUUGGAUUGAAUCCAAAAUCCAAAAUCCAAAAUCCAAAAUUUCACAGGUAAGGGUGCAAAGGUGCGGUAAGAGCGCACCAGCAGCAUCGAGAGGUGCUGGCUCGGUAAACCCCGGUUGGGAGCAAGGUCGCAGGGGUUAUGGUUGGUCUUUUUCCAGCCCCGCUUUUGGUGUACCGCAAGAGGCGUCUGGUAACAGCCGUCCCAGAUAGAUAAUCGCCCUCCUGGGUUUCCAGGAGAACAGAACCCGGCUUAUGUCUGGCUCUUCCC